AUUGAACGCUGGCGGCAGGCUUAACACAUGCAAGUCGAGCGGGGUGAUGGUGCUUGCACUAUCACUUAGCGGCGGACGGGUGAGUAAUGCUUAGGAAUCUGCCCAUUAGUGGGGGACAACAUCUCGAAAGGGAUGCUAAUACCGCAUACGUCCUACGGGAGAAAGCAGGGGAUCACUUGUGACCUUGCGCUAAUAGAUGAGCCUAAGUCGGAUUAGCUAGUUGGUGGGGUAAAGGCCUACCAAGGCGACGAUCUGUAGCGGGUCUGAGAGGAUGAUCCGCCACACUGGAACUGAGACACGGCCCAGACUCCUACGGGAGGCAGCAGUGGGGAAUAUUGGACAAUGGGGGGAACCCUGAUCCAGCCAUGCCGCGUGUGUGAAGAAGGCCUUAUGGUUGUAAAGCACUUUAAGCGAGGAGGAGGCUCUUUUGGUUAAUACCCAAGAUGAGUGGACGUUACUCGCAGAAUAAGCACCGGCUAACUCUGUGCCAGCCGCCGCAGUAA
rnacentral:rRNA from 1 species